AUUGAACGCUGGCGGCAUGCCUUACACAUGCAAGUCGAACGGCAGCACGGGUGCUUGCACCUGGUGGCGAGUGGCGAACGGGUGAGUAAUACAUCGGAACAUGUCCUGUAGUGGGGGAUAGCCCGGCGAAAGCCGGAUUAAUACCGCAUACGAUCCACGGAUGAAAGCGGGGGACCUUCGGGCCUCGCGCUAUAGGGUUGGCCGAAGGCUGAUUAGCUAGUUGGUGGGGUAAAGGCCUACCAAGGCGACGAUCAGUAGCUGGUCUGAGAGGACGACCAGCCACACGGGAACUGAGACACGCCCCAGCCUCCUACGGGAGGCAGCAGUGGGGAAUUUUGAGAAAUGGGCGAAAGCCUGAACCAGCAAUGCCGCGUGUGGGAAGAAGGCCUUCGGUUUGAAAAGCUUUUUUAUCAGGAAAGAACUCUUUUGUUAUAAACCAUGCGGGGGAUGACGGUACCGAAAAAAAAAGCCCCGGCUAACUACGUG
rnacentral:rRNA from 1 species